rnacentral:rRNA from 1 species
GACGUAGGGCGCGAGCGUUGUCCGGAUUUAUUGGGCGUAAAGAGCUCGUAGGCGGCUUGUCGCGUCGUUCGUGAAAACCCGGGGCUCAACUCCGGGCUUGCGGGCGAUACGGGCAGGCUAGAGUUCGGUAGGGGAGACUGGAAUUCCUGGUGUAGCGGUGAAAUGCGCAGAUAUCAGGAGGAACACCAAUGGCGAAGGCAGCUCGCUGGGACGGUACUGACGCUGAGACGCGAAAGCGUGGGGAGCAAACAGG